AGAAGGGCCGGAAGUACUCCAGGGCGCGCCGCGGACCCACCCCCUCGCUUCCGGCAUCGGCUGUGGGGAGUACCGGCUGCAGUCGGCUGUGCCGGGAGGGUAGGAUGGCGUCUGGCCGAUGCGGUGAUAGCACCGAAAGCAGACGGCCGCCAAGCGCUCCCCCCACCCCCCGAAGUUUCUCCCCAGCGGCGGGGGAUGGGGGUAGGCGGUUCCUCUGUUCUUUCUGCGUUCCCCGCGGCCCCUUACCACAGAGACGCGGGCCUCCACCGUCCUAGCCCUCCCGCCCUGUUCUCUAGUGCGGACUAGAGCGUCUCCUCGCCAUUUCCUGUCGCCCUGGGGCCCCGCCGGGAAAAAGGGGGAGUAGCAGGACAGCGGAGGGAAGUCGCGAGCUUAGGUGGUGUGUAGACGCCGGAAGUGUUGGGAAGGAGGCCGGAAGCUAGGGGCGGGGCCAGGAAGUGAGGAGGGGCGGGGGGUUAUGAGGAGUCCAAGGGAGCAUUGGGGCAGACUUGCACUCAGAGCCACCUGAGGGACUUGGCGGUGGCGCCCAGCACUGUCCCCUCCCCUCGUAGAGACACGGUUGUCGUUUGGGAGUAGGGAACACUGUGUGUUGGGGUGGUUGUCGGGAGGACAUCUCUGGCUGCUCUUGGGGCGAGGUGUGGAGGGGCAGGGCUGGGGGUGGAGCCGGGUCGCCAGGGCGUCGGUAGGGAAGACCCCCGCCCCUCGCCCCCCCACCGAACCUCUACACUGGCUGGCUGGACACUAAGAUGGCUGCCGUUGCCAUGACACCCAACCCUGUGCAGACCCUUCAGGAGGAGGCGGUGUGCGCCAUCUGCCUCGAUUACUUCACGGACCCCGUGUCCAUCGGCUGCGGGCACAACUUCUGCCGAGUUUGUGUAACCCAGUUGUGGGGUGGGGAGGAUGAGGAGGACAGAGAGGAGUUAGAUCGGGAGGAGGAGGAGGAGGACGGAGAGGAGGAGGAAGUGGAGGCUGUGGGGGCUGGCGCGGGGUGGGACACCCCCAUGCGGGAUGAAGACUACGAGGGUGACAUGGAGGAGGAGGUGGAGGAGGAAGAAGAGGGUGUGUUCUGGACCAGUGGCAUGAGCAGGUCCAGCUGGGACAACAUGGACUAUGUGUGGGAGGAGGAGGACGAGGAGGAAGAGCUGGACUACUACUUGGGGGACAUGGAGGAGGAGGACCUGAGGGGGGAGGACGAGGAGGACGAGGAGGAAGUGCUGGAGGAGGUUGAGGAAGAGGAUCUAGACCCCGUGACCCCACUGCCCCCGCCUCCAGCCCCUCGGAGGUGCUUCACAUGCCCUCAGUGCCGAAAGAGCUUUCCUCGGCGGAGCUUCCGCCCCAACCUGCAGCUGGCCAAUAUGGUCCAGGUGAUUCGGCAGAUGCACCCAACCCCUGGUCGAGGGAGCCGCGUGACCGAUCAGGGCAUCUGUCCCAAACACCAAGAAGCCCUGAAGCUCUUCUGCGAGGUAGACGAAGAGGCCAUCUGUGUGGUGUGCCGAGAAUCCAGGAGCCACAAACAGCACAGCGUGGUGCCAUUGGAGGAGGUGGUGCAGGAGUACAAGGCCAAACUGCAGGGGCACGUGGAACCACUGAGGAAGCACCUGGAGGCUGUGCAGAAGAUGAAAGCCAAGGAGGAGAGGCGAGUGACAGAACUGAAGAGCCAGAUGAAGUCAGAGCUGGCAGCGGUGGCCUCGGAGUUUGGGCGACUGACACGGUUUCUGGCUGAAGAGCAGGCAGGGCUGGAACGGCGUCUCAGAGAGAUGCAUGAAGCCCAGCUGGGGCGUGCGGGAGCCGCGGCUAGUCGCCUUGCAGAACAGGCCGCCCAGCUCAGCCGCCUGCUGGCUGAGGCCCAGGAGCGGAGCCAGCAGGGGGGUCUCCGGCUGCUCCAGGACAUCAAGGAGACUUUCAAUAGGUGUGAAGAGGUACAGCUGCAGCCCCCAGAGGUCUGGUCCCCUGACCCGUGCCAACCCCAUAGCCAUGACUUCCUGACAGAUGCCAUCGUGAGGAAAAUGAGCCGGAUGUUCUGUCAGGCUGCGAGAGUGGACCUGACGCUGGACCCUGACACGGCUCACCCGGCCCUGAUGCUGUCCCCUGACCGCCGGGGGGUCCGCCUGGCAGAGCGGCGGCAGGAGGUUGCUGACCAUCCCAAGCGCUUCUCGGCCGACUGCUGCGUACUGGGGGCCCAGGGCUUCCGCUCCGGCCGGCACUACUGGGAGGUAGAGGUGGGCGGGCGGCGGGGCUGGGCGGUGGGUGCUGCCCGUGAAUCAACCCAUCAUAAGGAAAAGGUGGGCCCUGGGGGUUCCUCCGUGGGCAGCGGGGAUGCCAGCUCCUCGCGCCAUCACCAUCGCCGCCGCCGGCUCCACCUGCCCCAGCAGCCCCUGCUCCAGCGGGAAGUGUGGUGCGUGGGCACCAACGGCAAACGCUAUCAGGCCCAGAGCUCCACAGAACAGACGCUGCUGAGCCCCAGUGAGAAACCAAGGCGCUUUGGAGCCUAAAGAACCCUCCUGGCCUCCAGCUCAGCCUUCUCUCACCUACUAUGUCUGUCCAACAGACCGGCCAGAAUUUAGCUUCACUUGAGAGAGAUCUGGAAUGGUCGCCAUGAUUGAAACCACGCACCAUUACAUCAUCAUUACAUUAAUUACAUCAACAUAAAUUAUUUCUUCCCCCUUCCCUUUUCCAGCACUCAACCAAGGAGCAAAGCUCAUCCCACCCCACACCCCUCCCAGGUCUGCUCACUGCCAGGCUCCUCUCCCCUUUGUUCAGUGGAGCUGGCUUUUCUCCCAGCCCCUUUCCAUGCCUUUCAUUCCAUUUGGCAAGCCCUGAGGGGGAGCCUGGGGACGGGUUUGGGUCCCCAAGAGGAGCGCCUUGGGUAUAAUCUAUUUUUCUAGGAGCCCCUUGCCUUGUCACUUGCAGCUUUCGCCCUCUGCUUUGAUGGCUGAGGUGAACUCAUGUUCUUUGGGAAAAGGGAAGGCGUGCUGUGGAAAUAAAAUGUUUAUUUGCUUCU